UACGUAGGGUGCGAGCGUUAAUCGGAAUUACUGGGCGUAAAGCGUGCGCAGGCGGUGAUGUAAGACAGUUGUGAAAUCCCCGGGCUCAACCUGGGAACUGCAUCUGUGACUGCAUCGCUGGAGUGCGGCAGAGGGGGAUGGAAUUCCGCGUGUAGCAGUGAAAUGCGUAGAUAUGCGGAGGAACACCAAUGGCGAAGGCAGCUCUCUGGGACGGUACUGACGCUGAGACGCGAAAGCGUGGGGAGCGAACAGG
rnacentral:rRNA from 1 species